rnacentral:rRNA from 1 species
CUUAGUACAUGCAAGUCGUGGGGCAGCAGGUUUGUAGCAAUACAGAUGCUGGCGACCGGCAAACGGGUGCGGAACACGUACAGAGCCUUCCUUUGAGCGGGGAAUGGCCCAGAGAAAUUUGGAUUAAUACCCCAUAGUAUAAUGAAGUGGCAUCACUUUAUUAUUAAAGAUUUAUCACUCGAAGAUGGCUGUGCGGCUGAUUAGGUAGUUGGCGGGGUAAAGGCCCACCAAGCCUGCGAUCAGUAACUGGUGUGAGAGCACGACCAGUCACACGGGCACUGAGACACGGGCCCGACUCCUACGGGAGGCAGCAGUAAGGAAUAUUGGUCAAUGGAGGCGACUCUGAACCAGCCAUGCCGCGUGGAGGAUGAAGGUCCUCUGGAUUGUAAACUUCUUUUAUAUGGGACGAAAAAAGGCUUUUCUAAGUCGUCUGACGGGUACCAUAUGAAUAAGCACCGGCUAACUCCGUG